CCCUAUUAUAGAAGAUGGUGUAAAUAUUAGUAUAGGUGAAAUUUAAAAAUUUUGGCGGUUAAUUUUUUUCUAGAGGAGCUUGAAAAUUUAUAGAAUCAACUCUUUUUAUUUUAAUAGUAUUAUUAUUUAUUCAUCUCCGUUAUCAAAAAAUUUUAGAUAAAUAUUAUUUAGUAUAUCAGGUCAAGAUGUAGUAUUUAUUAUAAUUUUUUAGCUACAUUUUAAAAUAAUGGAUAAUUGAAAUGAAAUUUUAAUUUGAAAUUGAAUUUAGUUGUAAUAUUUAUUAGAAAGUAAAUAUGAAUUUAAAUAAUUAGUGUA
rnacentral:rRNA from 1 species